GACGAACGCUGGCGGCGUGCUUAACACAUGCAAGUCGAACGGAAAGGCCCUGCUUUUGUGGGGUGCUCGAGUGGCGAACGGGUGAGUAACACGUGAGUAACCUGCCCUUGACUUUGGGAUAACUUCAGGAAACUGGGGCUAAUACCGGAUAGGAGCUCCUGCGUCAUGGUGGGGGUUGGAAAGUUUCGGCGGUUGGGGAUGGACUCGCGGCUUAUCAGCUUGUUGGUGGGGUAGUGGCUUACCAAGGCUUUGACGGGUAGCCGGCCUGAGAGGGUGACCGGCCACAUUGGGACUGAGAUACGGCCCAGACUCCUACGGGAGGCAGCAGUGGGGAAUAUUGCACAAUGGGCGGAAGCCUGAUGCAGCAACGCCGCGUGCGGGAUGACGGCCUUCGGGUUGUAAACCGCUUUCGCCUGUGACGAAGCGUGAGUGACGGUAAUGGGUAAAGAAGCACCGGCUAACUACGUG
rnacentral:rRNA from 1 species